rnacentral:snRNA from 1 species
GUUGCUUGAUGAACCAUU